rnacentral:rRNA from 1 species
UACGGGGGGGGCAAGCGUUGUUCGGAAUUACUGGGCGUAAAGCGCGUGUAGGCGGCGCUGCACGUCGGGUGUGAAAGCCCAGGGCUCAACCCUGGAAGGGCACUCGAAACGACGGCGCUGGAGUCCUGAAGAGGAGGGCGGAAUUCCCGGUGUAGAGGUGAAAUUCGUAGAUAUCGGGAGGAACACCAGUGGCGAAGGCGGCUCUCUGGACAGGUACUGACGCUGAGACGCGAAAGCGUGGGUAGCAAACAGG